AGCUCCAAUAGCGUAUAUUAAUGUUGUUGCAGUUAAAAAGCUCGUAGUUGGAUAUGUGGCAUUCACUUGGCUCCCUUCUCUAGUGGAACGGCGUUGCCCUGUGUUGCCAUCCUUGGGUUGAAUGUGCGUGGCAUUGAUUUGUCGUGCAGCUUUUUGCCCAUCAUUUACUGUGAAAAAAUUAGAGUGUUCAAAGCAGGCUUAUGCCGUUGAAUAUUUUAGCAUGGAAUAAUGCUAUAGGACCUUGGUACUAUUUUGUUGGUUUGCGUACCUAGGUAAUGAUUAAUAGGGACAGUUGGGGGCAUUCGUAUUCCAUAGUCAGAGGUGAAAUUCUUGGAUUUUUGGAAGACGAACUACUGCGAAAGCAUUUACCAAGGAUGUUUUCAUUAAUCAAGAACGAAAG
rnacentral:rRNA from 1 species